GACGAACGCUGGCGGCGUGCUUAACACAUGCAAGUCGAACGAUGAAGCCGGAGCUUGCUCUGGUGAAUUAGUGGCGAACGGGUGAGUAACACGUGAGUAACCUGCCCUUGACUCCGGGAUAACUGCUAGAAAUGGUAGCUAAUACCGGAUACGACCCUCGGAGGCAUCUUCAGGGGGUGGAAAGAAUUUAGGUCAAGGAUGGACUCGCGGCCUAUCAGCUAGUGGGUGAGGUAAUGGCUCACCAAGGCGACGACGGGUAGCCGGCCUGAGAGGGUGGCCGGCCACACUGGGACUGAGACACGGCCCAGACUCCUACGGGAGGCAGCAGUGGGGAAUAUUGCACAAUGGGCGCAAGCCUGAUGCAGCAACGCCGCGUGAGGGAUGACGGCCUUCGGGUUGUAAACCUCUUUUAGUAGGGAAGAAGCGAAAGUGACGGUACCUGCAGAAAAAGCACCGGCUAACUACGUGCCAGCAGCCGCCGUAA
rnacentral:rRNA from 1 species